rnacentral:rRNA from 1 species
GAUGAACGCUGGCGGCGUGCUUAACACAUGCAAGUCGAACGAAGCAAUGCGACGGAAGCCUUCGGGUGGAAGACGUAUUGACUGAGUGGCGGACGGGUGAGUAACGCGUGGGUAACCUGCCUUGCACAGGGGGAUAACAGUUAGAAAUGACUGCUAAUACCGCAUAACCCGCUAGUACCGCAUGGUACAGACGGAAAAGAUUUAUCGGUGUAAGAUGGACCCGCGUCUGAUUAGCUAGUUGGUAGGGUAACGGCCUACCAAGGCGACGAUCAGUAGCCGGCCUGAGAGGGUGAACGGCCACAUUGGGACUGAGACACGGCCCAAACUCCUACGGGAGGCAGCAGUGGGGAAUCUUCCGCAAUGGGCGAAAGCCUGACGGAGCAAUGCCGCGUAUAGGAAGAAGGUUUUCGGAUUGUAAACUAUUGUCGUUAGGGAAGAUACAAGACAGUACCUAAGGAGGAAGCCCCGGGCUAACUAUGUG